rnacentral:tRNA from 1 species
GGGCUCAUCGUCUAAUGGAGUAGGACAGGAACUUCCUAAGUUCCUAAUGGUGGGUUUCGAUCCCCGCUGAGCUCA